GCCGCCGGAAGAACCGCAGGAGGGGAGACCUCAAGAUCUCGGGUGUACGCUGAGUCCAUACACCUUCGGAUGUUUUACAAAAUCUUGUGAGAUUAAGCCUGCAUGUUAACCAACCCUACGACUGUAGGAUCUACGUGUUUGAACUCUGUAGAACUGGUUUGCACUAAGGUGCUUGAGCCUUGACGUUGCGUGCUUGGGAUGAGAGUAGCAGCACGUGUGCACUCACUUAUCAUUAUAUGUGGAACCAAUGCUUUAUGGCUAAAUGUUUGGAUGUGGAGACUUUGAUGUUGUUUUAGUUUCUCUCAUGUGGUUCUGUUUGCGAAAUGUUUAUUUCACUCUAGUGAAAUCUUUGCUAUUCUAUCUGAACGAUUUCUGUUGCUUCUGCGUAUUCUAUUAUAUGUUUGUGCUGUCGUGUGGUAAUUCCCCAGAGGAUUAUUCUAUAUUCUUCUGGGGUGUUAUAGUUGGUAAUCAGAGCCUAGGUUAUAGGUUCUAGGCUGAAAGCAUCUAGGCCCUUAGUGGGUUUUUGGAGUAUUGAUUGACAACACAAUUAAAUGACUAACUUGUUUGCAUGAGAUUAUGAGCAGUGAUUUAAUUGAGAAAUUGGUACGAAAUGA